GAAGCGCUUAGGUCACCUGACUUUUGGCAGGGAUUUGACAACAAGGAAAAGACGAGCUGUUUUCGAACACUCAUACUCCAGGUCUGACGCCAUUGUGAAAUGAUUAGGGCCCACAAUGCAAUUCUUCAAGAAAUGGGCGUGGCGUCACAUCGUUUUCAGAUUUGAAGAAAAUGGCGAAAAGUUCGCAGCCGAAGUCCAACGAUAGCGGAUACAAAUUCAUUUUUUAAAACUAAUUAUGACAAAUGUUAACAAAAUGUUGAGCAAUGUAAUGAAGUAAAUACUUUUCAAAUAACUCACACGUUAUGUUUGCUGACAAUUUGUUACCUACGCUGUCCUUACGAACCACAUAGCAUAUCAUUACAGCAGUAUGAAACGUUACCUUUUAUGAUAACAAGCUACCUAACGUUAGUUGGCUACUUAUAUAUCAAAUUUGCCAGUAUAUUAACUACAGGCUAACUACAUCAAACUUGCCAGUAUAUUAAAUAUAGGCUACCCAACGUGUACUUGACUUGAUUAUUCCCGUCAUUCUUAGCUAAAUAGUAUAGUCGGUGUGUGUUCUCAAUGGAUAUUCGGGUGCUUUCCAAAAUUCUCUCUGGCUCCCUACUCCAAUUUCCGAGCACACUCAUCUGGGUGUAACGUCGCUACCAGAGGCAGAAUAAUGCACGUACGAGCGCUCAACACCGGUUGAAUAUGGCUGGGGUCAGUUAACGUCGGAAAAAAGCGUAAUUAAAUUGUUGACAGCUACACAGUCAGAGUGGUACCUCUCAUUUGUGUCUGGAAGUAGCUAGCAAGCUAGCCAACGUUAGUUUGGGUGCUUUGACUGCCGUUGUAACAAAUAUGUUAGUUCGCUCAACUAAAAGGAUACUGUUCGUUUACAGUAUACUAAUAGCAUGUAGUAUAUACUCAUUAAGUAUGCAAUAUACAGUAUGUUAGUAUGGGUAUUUGAACACAGCUUAGAAGUAAUCAUGCGUAGAAAAAAGUUAACACGGCAGAAAGCGGUUUGUAGAUUUCUAUAAAUCACUGGCAGCCUCUCGUUCGGCCAUGUUGAUGCCAGACUUUCAAGACUGCAGAAAUUACCGAGGUAAAGACAGUUUCAAGUUGGAUAUUCGCGCAUUCAAACCACUUGAGCCACAGACUCCAAAUAAGUGUCAUGGUGUUGGGAAAAUUGCUCAUAACAUUGCACAGGUCUUAUUUUCACAAUUUGGACAUUAAUUCGCUUUCCAAAGCUAAUAAACAUGUGGAAAUGUGA